GGUGCUCAACAAACCGUUACACUUGAGACUUGAAUCCAACAAAUCUCAAAACCUGCUUGAGGAUACCUCACCCCAAGACUUCCCUGUUAAGCUUACGGGUGCCUAACGAACCGCUACAACUUGAGAACUUGAAUCACACAAGCCUCAAACAACCUUGCUUAAGGAAACCUAUCCCUAAGACUUCUCAAGAAAAAAUUAAGUAUUUCUUCUUGCAACA
rnacentral:lncRNA from 1 species